UUGGAGGGCAAGUCUGGUGCCAGCAGCCGCGGUAAUUCCAGCUCCAAUAGCGUAUAUUAAAGUUGUUGCAGUUAAAAAGCUCGUAGUUGAAUUUCGGGAUUAGUACGCUGGUCGUGCCUUCGGUACGUACUGGUGUUACUGAUUUCUACCUUCUGACGAACCAUCAUGUCAUUAGUUUGGUGUGGUGGGGAAUCAGGACUGUUACUUUGAAAAAAUUAGAGUGUUUAAAGCAGGCUCGCGCUUGAAUACAUUAGCAUGGAAUAAUGAAAUAGGACGUUGAUCCUAUUUUGUUGGUUUCUAGGAUUGACGUAAUGAUUAAUAGGGAUAGUUGGGGGCAUUAGUAUUCAAUUGUCAGAGGUGAAAUUCUUGGAUUUAUUGAAGACUAACUACUGCGAAAGCAUUUGCCAAGGAUGUUUUCAUUAAUCAAGAACGAAAGUUAGGGGAUCGAAGACGAUCAGAUACCGUCGUAGUCUUAACCAUAAACUAUGCCGACUAGGGAUCGGAUGAUGUUAUUUUUAAUGACUCAUUCGGCGCCUUACGGGAAAC
rnacentral:rRNA from 1 species